GAUGAACGCUAGCGGCAGGCUUAACACAUGCAAGUCGAGGGGCAGCACGUCUUCGGAUGGUGGCGACCGGCGCACGGGUGCGUAACGCGUAUAGAACCUACCUUUUACAGGGGAAUAGCCCAGAGAAAUUUGGAUUAAUGCCCCAUAGUAUUAUUAGAUGGCAUCAUUUGAUAAUUAAACAUUUAUGGGUAAAAGAUGGCUAUGCGUUCUAUUAGCUAGAUGGUAAGGUAACGGCUUACCAUGGCGACGAUAGAUAGGGGUCCUGAGAGGGAGAUCCCCCACACUGGUACUGAGACACGGACCAGACUCCUACGGGAGCAGCAGUGAGGAAUAUUGGACAAUGGGCGAGAGCCUGAUCCAGCCAUGCCGCGUGCAGGAAGACGGUCCUAUGGAUUGUAAACUGCUUUUUANACAGGAAGAACACUCCCUCGUGAGGGAUUUGACGGUACUGUAU
rnacentral:rRNA from 1 species